GUCAACUGCAAAGAGUUAAAGUUUGACUUCCUCCUUUCCGAUUUGGAUGCCUUUUAUUCCUUCGUGUUGUCUGAUUGCUGAGGCUAAGACUUCCAAUACUAUGUUGAAUA